AAGGUGAACCAGCCAACUGCUCGGGUUGUCUCUGGACAGAGAAAACAAGAGGAGCCAACACCUUGGGGGCCAAAAGUUGUGAUGGCCCAGGCUGAUAAACCAACAGCCAAUGAGACCAGCUUCUUGGGAUGUUCAACCAAGGUAAUGACAACAAUAUAAAAAAUGAUUUGCAAAUAAGCAAUCAAUCUGUUCCAGGAUCAGUAUCUAGAAACAUUUACAUUUUUACUUCAUAAUUACAAUCAACAUAGUUUAACUGUUUUUAACAUGUUCUUGGUAAUAUCUACACACUAUGAAUUGGAAAUGUCAAGAAGGUUGGCUGAUGAACUUGUUGUGCUCAUUUUAAUUAUUUAAACUGAACUGAAAUAAAAGUUUUCUUUGUCCUUAAUUCUGUUCACCACAAUACACCAAAUGUCCCCUUUUCUAUGGCUUAUGAGUUUGCAUGUAGGGGUAAAACACAUUUUUUUAACAUUCGUAAUGUUUGUGAUUGCAGAUGACACACAUUGAGGACCAUGAGCCGUUUGAAGCAGCACCUGAGGUCACUGCGAGCAGUCAGCAGGUAUGUAAUUACUAGUGGAAAAAUUGUAUACCAACGGGAAAAGCCACAGCUUAAGAGACCCAUUUUGUUUUGAUGUGUUUAUUCUUUUAAAACAUUGAUAUGGUGUAAGUGUGCAGUUCUGACUAAUUUGCCUAUACUAUGUACAUUUUCAAAUUACUUACUGGGAACCAACAUGCUUUUAAAAACACGGAAUUGUCAUUUCAGCAGAGCCCGCCUGAGGACAAUAGCCAGCUUGAAGAUCGUCAUGUAACACUUGGCAAUCAGAAGGCACCCUGUGAUUUUGCACCUGCCAGAGCUGCUACAUCAAGUCAUGUGACUUAUGACAACCCUGGGUGUCUUCAAGGAUCGUUUGACCAGAGCAGCCAGAUAUUCGGGGAAAAUGCAGGUAAGCAGUGUGCUACAAAUGGCAUAGCGGCGAUUAUGACCCACACCACCCAUUGCGUUCUCAAAUGGAAAAAAAAGAACAUUCAUCAUAUUCUAAAACAAGGUAAUGGCUUGUACACAUCUAUGCUAGAAAAUAAGGAAAUCAGUGCAGCCAAAACCAGUGGGCAUAUUUUCAUUUCCGAGUUACCCAGACACUGCAAAUUCAACAAUAAAUUAUUUAGUUUGGAAUAUUUUGAUACACUCACUGGAAGUCUUGAUCAAAAGGAUGAUUAUGACGCUCCUUUGCAAAACAUAGCCAUGCCUUUAGAAGAGGCUAUUCAGAAGACACUGCUGCAGACAGACACAUGCUUGCUCAACAUCCAAGGAAGUAUCUGUGCCGUUUUCAAGGUCGAAACUGCUUUUGCAGUUUUCGAUCCUCAUUCUCGUAGUACUUGGGGUUCGGUUUCACCGGAUGGAACCAGCAUAGUAGCGCACUAUGCUACUGUGUAUGAGUUAUAUGACCAUAUUAAGAACCUUGGCAAUUCCUUAUAUCAAAAUCAUCCACAUGCUUUUGAUAUCCCAAACAAGGUGUUUGAAGUCACUGGUGUGAAAGCUGUUGAGGUAAACUCACCAUUUACUGCUUUAACUGCACAGCCUGAAGCCAGCACUUC
ensembl:lncRNA